GACGAACGCUGGCGGCGUGCUUGACACAUGCAAGUCGAACGGAAAGGCCUGCUUUCCCUUGUGGAUUGCGGGUACUCGAGUGGCGAACGGGUGAGUAACACGUGAGUGAUCUGCCCCCAACUUGGGUAUAAGCCUGGGAAACUGGGUCUAAUUCCCGAUAGGACUGCAGGGUGGUGCCUGUGGUGGAAAACGAUUUUCUAGUGGUUGGGGAUGAGCUCGCGGCCUAUCAGCUUGUUGGUGGGGUAAUGGCCUACCAAGGCGGCGACGGGUAGCCGGCCUGAGAGGGUGGACGGCCACAUUGGGACUGAGAUACGGCCCAGACUCCGACGGGAGGCAGCAGUGGGGAAUAUUGCACAAUGGGCGGAAGCCUGAUGCAGCGACGCCGCGUGGGGGAUGACGGCCUUCGGGUUGUAAACUCCUUUCGACCGCGAGGAAGCCACCUGGUUGGAAGGGUGGUGACGGUAGUGGUAGAAGAAGCACCGGCUAACUACGUG
rnacentral:rRNA from 1 species